rnacentral:misc_RNA from 1 species
UACUGGCAGGAUCAACCAGGUAGCAUUCCUCAUCGACGCCGCACGGGCACGGUCGCGAGCCAAGCAGGCUCCCGACCGAGACCCGCACGGCCGUCGCCCGCAGCAAAGCGUGGAAACGCUCUUUUUUUUUUCGGGGGGCAUCCGAGGCCGAGGCCUCGAGGCCGCUCAAUUUUCCGCAUCCGAGGCAUCUAGCACAUCGCCGUGCGUCGCCGAGCUCGGCACCCGACGAGGUGCGAGGGCGGCGAGCACGACGGGCGCUUCUUGGUCCGCCCCGCGCAGCAUUUCCUUUCGGAGCCGCCGAACGGGACGGAAGCGGGACAACCCAUCCGACAAUUUUCCGCACCGACAGGAAACCAACCCACGGGACCCGACAUCGGCCCAAUGCAUGGGCACGGCAGCCAAGCACCGAAGGGUGGGGGGGCGCGCGCUGGGAGUGCCGUCGCUGCCCG